CUGGAGCCUCAAAAGCCAUGCUUCAGCCACUGCUCUACAGCCCUGGAGUGAAGAUAAUAUCACUCUUAUUGUAUAGAGACAAAGUCUCACUGUGUUGCCUAGGCUGGUAUCAAAUUCAUGGCCUCAAGCAAUCUUCCCACCUUGGCUUUGCAAACCUCUGGGAUUACAGGUAAGAUUCAUCAUGCCCUGCCUGUGGUUCACUUCUUAAAUGAAACCCUUUCAGAUUUAACAGGGAUGGAAAAUAUCCUCUCUUCCCUGUUUAAAUAGAGAAACUCAAGCCCAAGCUAGAAUCUGUGAAAGAAGAUCACUCAACAACAACAAAAAGUUGUGGGUUGUUAUUGAUUUCUUUUUUAAUAAAUGGGAGCCUAGGGAAUACA
rnacentral:lncRNA from 13 species